GCCACCAUAGCUCAGUUGGUAGAGCACGUCACUCGUAAUGACGGGGUCGUCGGUUCAAAUCCGACUGGUGGCU
rnacentral:tRNA from 6 species